GGAUGCGAUCAUACCGGCACUAAAGCACCGGAUCCCAUCAGAACUCCGAAGUUAAGCGUGCUUGGGCGAGAGUAUUACUAGGAUGGGUGACCUCCUGGGAAGUCCUCGUGUUGCAUUCC
rnacentral:rRNA from 2 species